GACGAACGCUGGCGGCGUGCUUAACACAUGCAGGCCGAACGGUGAAGCGCCUUCCUUUUUGGUGGGUGUGGAUGAGUGGCGAACGGGUGAGUAACACGUGAGUAACCUGCCCCCUUCUUCUGGAUAACCGCAUGAAAGUGUGGCUAAUACGGGAUAUUCUGGGUCUGUCGCAUGAUGGGUCUGGGAAAGAUAUUGUUUCGGUGGGGGAUGGGCUCGCGGCCUAUCAGCUUGUUGGUGGGGUGAUGGCCUACCAAGGCGGUGACGGGUAGCCGGCCUGAGAGGGUGGACGGUCACACUGGGACUGAGACACGGCCCAGACUCCUACGGGAGGCAGCAGUGGGGAAUAUUGCACAAUGGGCGCAAGCCUGAUGCAGCGACGCCGCGUGAGGGAUGGAGGCCUUCGGGUUGUGAACCUCUUUCGCCAGUGAAGCAGGCCUGCCUCGUUUGUGGGUGGGUUGACGGUAGCUGGAUAAGAAGCGCCGGCUAACUACGUG
rnacentral:rRNA from 1 species